rnacentral:rRNA from 1 species
AUGAAGUAUCUAAUAAGAUUAGCACAACACACGCGGGUUCUACAUGAAGAAAUGCUAGCACUGGACAGACUUGAGCACGCUUAUUAUGUAGCGGCUAUUCCUGUUAGGAAACAAAUUGAUGCUAUCAAGAACCAAAGGGGUGCGGUGAAGGUCUUAAAAUGCAAAUCGCUUUGGUCAAAGAGUAUGGACGAUAUUGUGGAGAAACUUGUGGAGAUUGUAGACUUCAUGCGCCUUCAAAUCAACGAAGCUUUCUGGAAGAGCCAUGCAGAUGCAAAGCAAUCAUCUGGAGAACUUCACAUAGCUAUCAACCUCAUGAAAACGUUAGGGGCUACUGGACUUGCGUUGCAUUAUGCUGAUGUCAUUCUGCAGCUAAAAGCUUUGGCAUUGGCAUCACCGGCGGUUCCUCAAAAUGCGGGGGAGGCAUUAUACCAAGCACUGCCUCCUGGGAUUAAGCCAGUUCUGCGCACCCAGCUGCGUAUUCCGGACAAAGAUCAGACCAUGACGCGAGCAGCGGUGAGAGCUGAAAUGAACAGAGUAUUGCGAUGGCUUGUGCCAGCUGCGGAAUCCACCAGGCGGUACCACGUGAAUGGGGUAUUCGGAGAAUGGGAGAUGAAAGGGAUUGAGGGUAUCGAUGUCAACGAAGCAAACUGGCUCGAACAAGAAAGUCGGAUCAGUGUCAGUUACAUGCUCGCCCAUGCAGAUGCCAAAGUGAGCAAGGUAGAGACGCUCUACUACGCCGACAAGGAGAGGGCCGAAGGUUACAUACUGGACCUUGUUCUGGCUCUUCAUCGUCUUGUUUCGCCCGCGGACUAG